GAUGAACGCUGGCGGCGUGCCUAAUACAUGCAAGUCGAGCGAACGGACGAGAAGCUUGCUUCUCUGAUGUUAGCGGCGGACGGGUGAGUAACACGUGGAUAACCUACCUAUAAGACUGGUAUAACUUCGGGAAACCGGAGCUAAUACCGGAUGAUAUUUUGAACCGCAUGGUUCAAAAGUGAAAUACGAUCUUGCUGUCACUUAUAGAUGGAUCCGCGCUGCAUUAGCUAGUUGGUAAGGUAACGGCUUACCAAGGCAACGAUGCAUAGCCGACCUGAGAGGGUGAUCGGCCACACUGGAACUGGGCCACGGUCCAGACUCCUACGGGAGGCAGCAGUAGGGAAUCUUCCGCAAUGGGCGAAAGCCUGACGGAGCAACGCCGCGUGAGUGAUGAAGGUCUUCGGAUCGUAAAACUCUGUUAUUAGGGAAGAACAUAUGUGUAAGUAACUGUGCACAUCUUGACGGUACCUAAUCAGAAAGCCACGGCUAACUACGUG
rnacentral:rRNA from 1 species